UACGUAGGGUGCGAGCGUUGUCCGGAAUUAUUGGGCGUAAAGAGCUCGUAGGCGGUUUGUCACGUCUGCUGUGAAAUCCCGAGGCUCAACCUCGGGCCUGCAGUGGGUACGGGCAGACUGGAGUGCGGUAGGGGAGAUUGGAAUUCCUGGUGUAGCGGUGGAAUGCGCAGAUAUCAGGAGGAACACCGAUGGCGAAGGCAGAUCUCUGGGCCGUAACUGACGCUGAGGAGCGAAAGCGUGGGGAGCGAACAGG
rnacentral:rRNA from 1 species